rnacentral:lncRNA from 1 species
UGGAUAUUAGGAAGGACAUCCACAGAGCUGGUCAGUCAAGAAUGAAACCUAUGCACCAAACUGAGAAAAGCUGUUGAUAGAGGAAUUUUAAAGAAGGAAUAGGGAGAGGACUACUUCUCUGUUUUUAGCUGGAAGUUCUAUCAUGUACAAAUGCUUUUGAUCACUACUUACAGCAUGUCCAGCAAUGAUGGCUUGAAAAUGGGAGAUUAUUGUAUGACAAGAAGUCCUAUGCAGGAGGAUUUUCUGGUUAUAACAACUGCUCUAUCAUGCAUCAAGGACAUAGGUUAUAUAUGUCUUUUCUGUCCUUCAUUCUCAGUGAUUUCACUACCCUAGAACCAAAAUGAACCAUGUUACACAAAUGAAGUUGGGAAAUUUCUUCGCUCCGUAUACGCACAUAUGUAGACAGCUCCAUAUCCCACAACCUCGUGAUAAUGAAAUCCCUCGCCUCUAGGAAACAUCACAGAAUAUCAGCUUGGGAACACUGUGUGUUUUGCAUGUCAAUCUUAACUAAAAUGAUUCUCUGUGAAAGAAGCUGUAAAGACUCUCUACAAAAAAUCAGAGUGACUGUCAACCAUCUGUGCAAAUACACACCCACCAGAGAUAAUAAAGGUGCUUAGAGAAACAUAAAUGUAAAGUGGGCUCCCACAUCUAUAGAGGCAUUCAGAGCCUGAGAAAAGAGCUCCAACAAAUUUCACCUCUAGCAGCCUGAGUGGACUAUAACAGCUAUUCCUAAGGAAUAAUGCUACCGAUUAAUAAAGAUAGAAAAG